rnacentral:rRNA from 1 species
AGAAUUUUUUUUUUUAUUAAAAUAAUAUUUUAUUUUAAAAAUUUAAUUGGGGCGAUUAAUUAAUAUUAAAAACUUUAUUAAUAAAAAAAUGAUCCAUUAUUAAUGAUUAUUUGAUUAAAAUACUCUAGGGAUAACAGCGUAAUAAUUUUUGAUAGUUCUUAUAGAAAAAAUAGUUUGCGACCUCGAUG